UAUGGAAGUAUGGCUAGUGCAUCGCAGGGACCCCAUGCGUCUCAGAGGAAGAAUCAAUCACAGGGUCAUGUAUGAUGAGGGGUCAGCCUACCCUAAAGAAAUCUCCUUCAUGUUAUGAAAUCACCAGUUCCUCUAGAAAAGAUGUGCUGGGGCUACUAAGACAGAAACACCAUAGAGAGAACAUGCAAAAUGAGGAGGAGCUGUGUAGUCUCAUAUUGUUAGGGGAGUGAAAGUGGUGCUGUUAAUAAUUACCCUUGAACAACAAGGUGAGACCUAUACUUACCCCACCUGUGUCCCAAAGGUGGGCUUCAUCUCAAGAGUCCUGAACAGGAAGAGGCUUCAGGCUUGGGCAAACAGCUGUGGCUAAUGGGAGAAAUGUCUGCUAAGAGCGGUGGUCAUGGUGGCUCAUGGGGUUUUGCUGGUGGAUCUCCCUAACAGGGUGGCCCAGAGUGAAGGGGCGCCUACCCUUCCUCCCUGAGGGACCACUAGUGGCUGAACACGUGCCCCCCUUUUCCCCCCACAUUCUGACCCCUGGAAGCAGCAGACGGGGCCGGUUUUCCAGGCAGCUGGGAAGAAACACAAGCCCCUGAGGCAACCUGAAAGACAGUGGCCUGAAGGGUCAACCCCUGCUGGGUUCAGUUUAAGGUGAUUCACAAACAAUAAACAACCCUGGGGCUCCUUAGGAAUUCAUAUGGAAUCAAGCCGUUGGGUAAGGCUGGACUUUCUGGUAAUGCGGGUACUUAGGGCUCAGAGCUAGCACAUUUUGUAUAUUUGUGAAUAUGUGACCUUCCUGUGUAAUGUAAAAAAUUAAUAAACAGAAGCCCCAAUUAAAUAGAGCUGGGAGACCAGGAGGUGGAGCUCUCCAGCCCUGUGAUGGUAGCAGGGCCCAAGAGAAAGAAAAAGAUUCCUCUUCUUUCCUGGCAACGACUCAGUCAGUGAAAAGCCUUGGACCCUUUUUUUACUGCAGACCUCCCAUCUUCCUUUUCCUGUCUGUAAAAUGUGCAGGAACUUGCAUGUGGCUUGCCAUGGUUGCAGAAAAGCCGUGAGUCAGGUUUCUUCAAUGUCUUACCAAGGGAUAUAGCCGGGGAGACAGACUCUGAGAGAGCUCUGAGAAACUGCUCUGAAAGGCGUUGGCGGGGGGAUGUGAGCGUAUCUGUGAUCUUGGCAAAGGGUACCUGCAACCAAGCUCACAUCUCGGUAGAAGGCUGCUGCUGGUCACAAGGAACAGACACCUUAGUUCAUCAUUUUAGUGCUUUUCUAAGUAUGGGAAGAUGCAAGAAUCCAGGUUCUUGAAAAUUUCUCCUGAAAAUAUCUAUCUGAAGGCCUGUUCUGCCAGUUUUCCCGGAGCACAGAGGGCCCCAUUCCUGAUCUUUGCUAAGAAGCCUCUGGGGGAAGGGGCGUGGCCCCCUGUGACGGGUUGGCUCUGGGGCCAGGCAGGGACAGUGACACCUCAGAAUGACUCCCUGGAGAGCCCCUCUGCCCUCUCCUCAACACACAGAAGACCCCUCUGCCUGCCCGCCUGCCCUGCCAUGGGCACCAGCCUCCUGUGCUGUGUGACCUUCUGUCUCCUGCAGGCAGGUCCAGGGAAUGCUGGUGUCACUCAGGACCCAAAAUUCCGGGUCCUGAGGACAGGACAGAGCACGACCCUGAAAUGUGCCCAGGAUCUGGACCACAACUAUAUGUACUGGUACCGACAAGACCUGGGACACGGGCUGAGGCUGAUCCAUUACUCAACUGCCACUGGCACCACCAACAAAGGAGACGUCCCCAACGGGUACAGCGUCUCCAGAUCAAACCUCGAGAACUUCCCUCUCACGCUGGUGGCUGCCACCCACUCCCAGACAUCUGUGUACCUCUGCGCCAGCAGUUACUCCACGGCACUGCACGGCCACCUCCUCUCUGCACAAAAAGGCAGGGGAGGCCCUGCACCCCGGGACUCAGCAGAGCCCCUUGCAGGCUCCUAGCACCUGGAGCCUUGGAGCCCUGAGUGCCAGGUGCCUGCAGUGUGACCCUCAGUGUGUGGUCUCGGCCGGCCCAGACCUGACUCCAUGGCCUUGCAGAUGUGUGCCCACCACCACUCUUUGUCUUUCCUCUGCAGCUGCCCUGUGAGCAGAAAGAUGCUGCCCCAGCUCUGACUCCUAGCCAUCAGCCUGAGUCUGAGGCCUCCAGGAGGGAACGUUAUUG